rnacentral:rRNA from 1 species
UACGAAGGGGGGCUAGCGUUGUUCGGAAUUACUGGGCGUAAAGCGCACGUAGGCGGCUUUGUAAGUUAGAGGUGAAAGCCCAGGGCUUAACCCUGGAAUUGCCUUUAAGACUGCAUCGCUAGAAUCGUGGAGAGGUAAGUGGAAUUCCGAGUGUAGAGGUGAAAUUCGUAGAUAUUCGGAAGAACACCAGUGGCGAAGGCG